AACCAGAGGGAUCUAUGUUAGACUGUGGAGACAAAGGAAUUAUAAAAUAAUUGACUAAUUAGUAUAAUUCAGAAAAUAAUUGAAUAGCACUUCUAAGCAACCAACUCACCAUAUAUAACUACAGAAAUAAAUUUAAAACAAGAAAUAUCAUUUAGAUUUUCAAGAGAAGUAUUUCUGACAAUAAUAUUAAUCACAGAAAACUAGCAAAAUCACUAAGCUGCUAACCAGAAAUUAAGGACAAAAAAUAAACUCUUAAGUACUUGCACUUUGAAUGAAGAAAAAUAGAACAAAGGAAAAAAAAUUUUUGCACCAGAGACUAUAAACUGUUUUAUUUGAUUCACAGAGUAGUGAAAGUAGAUUUUAUUUUUAUAGGAAAAAUUUUAUGCUGAUAUUGAAAAAUUAGUAUUUUUAAAAAUCUUUAUUUCUGUUUUUUUCUGAAAAAAAAAUGAGAUUUGAUUUCAUGGUCUCUUAUUCUCACUUAGAAAGGCUUCUAGAGCUGAACAGAAGUGCCACUAACAGGUCACAUAAUCUCCAAGGUUCCACUGUACCUACUUGACACACACAAUUAUUUAAAGUACCUUUUUGGGCAUUUUGUGCUUCUUGUGUUUCACUCAAAGUUUCACCAAAUGUAUUCAGAAAUUUUAAUGUAAGCAUGUAAGCACUCAUAUGAGACAGGAAUGGAAUAUGCUAAGUAAAUGGACAUACUAGGUCAAGAAAAUCUUUAGGAGCAUAAGAAAUAAUGAAAAGAAGUUUAAUAUUCAGAGAUAAUACUCUAAGUAUUUGAAACUAUGACGGGUUUUUUGAAGUGGUUCACAAAACAAGUUCUUAACAUGGUUAAGGAACUGAUUAAGGAAUACAUUAAAAAAUACAGUGAAUAGUAGUCUCUGUAAAAUUAUUUUUUCACGUUAAAUUCUACGGAGUAACACAUACAAUUGUGAUGGAAGCUUUUCCAUUCUUAAUUGGUUUGCAUUAUUCCAUAAUAUAUCAAUUUUAACAAAUGCCUGCUAUAAAUGAAAUCUAGUACUUCCUAUCAAGAUAGUGUUAGGACAUAAAAAUUUGUGUCUGAAAAUGGAUACAUGUGCUCUUUAUUACUUACCUUGAAUGUCUCUUUUUAAAGAUCUUGUCUGUAAACCAUGUAACCUUCAGUAUCUAAUUCCCACACACAGAAAAUGAUAUCCUCAAUAAGCAUCUAAAAGAGAAAACAUAAUAUCAUGAAUUUGAAGUUACAAACAUUUUUUCAUUUAUUUUAAAUGUUAAAGGAGAUCUUGAAAUUAUUCUUUAUGAUUUAAUAAGUGUGGCCAAAGGGUAGUGUGUAUUAUAGGACAUAUUUUAUGUAAUGAAACAGUGAUAAUAAUGAGAUUUUUUUCCCCCUUUAUAAGAAUCAGAAAGUACAGUACAACAUAUAUUUUGAUCCCUGGCAUAGAGUUUAGUACUUUCUAUAAUACUAUUUUUAUCUGGCUAACCUAGUUUCAAUGAACAUUUUUAAGAAAUAUAAUUUUACACACAUUGGUUCUGAGGUCAUACAUGAAUGUAUCCCCACCCUAGAAAACUCUUUCCUUGUUCAGAAUGGAUAAUUAGCAAAAAUAUAUUCUUGAAUACCUCUGAAUUGCCUCUAAAAGUCAAAAUCACAGAAAUUAAUUAGUUAAAUAUUCUGCUCUCAUGAAAAGUCAAUAUUUUUACCCCUUAUCACUUAAACUGUCCCAUCAGUGUUUUACAUAGAACUAGUAAAACAGCAGAGGUUUUUUAAGAGAAAUUGCUUCUUAUAGAGAAUUGGGAUUACUCAGAGAAAACAUUCUAUGUUGAAAUAAUUUGAUUCUUAUUUCCUUUGAUUUUUUAAAAUCAGCCUGAGAUAAGCAGUUAGGGAAAUAGGAUUUGGAUGCUACAGUGCUAUACCUUUAGCAUAUAGUUUUGGGUACUAUGGAUUCCAAAACCAAAAUCAAUAAUUUUUUCAUUAGCAACAUAUUUCUGCCUCUUGUCAUUAGUGUAGACUCUGUUUUAGUUGCAGCUACACAUUAAAACACCUAAGAAAUUACUAAAUGUAGGGAGAUGGUCUCUUCCUUAGAUAUUCUGAUUUAACUGUCAUCACAUGGGGCCAGGACCUAGCUAUUUUUCAAAAGCAUUAAAGAAUGAUGUCUGUUCUGCAAGUUAGGAAACAAUCUCAGAGCAAUUAUUUAACUUAGUUUCUAUAGAUAACUAACAAGUUUCUAUAGAUAACUAACAUAGCAAAAAAAAAAAAAAUUGUAUCUAUGGGUAUCCAUGAAAACCAGUAAGAUACUUGCUACUCUGACUAGUAAAUAUUUUAUUUAUUUAUUUUUAGGGCUGCACCCAUGGCAUAUGGAAGUUCCCAGGCUAGUGGUCUAUGCCACAGCCACAGCAAUGCAGAAUCCGAGUCACGCCUGUGAUCCACACCACAGCUCACGGCAACGCCAGAGCCCCAAUCCCCUAAGCAAGGGGAGGGAUGGGACUGGAACCCGCAUCCUCAUGGAUACUAGUUGGAUUUGUUUCUUCUGCACCACAAUGGGAAAUCCUUGUCUGGUAAAUGUUUUAAAUGAUUUCAAAGCUCCAUAUGCUGCGGGAGCAGCCCAAGAAAUAGCAAAAACACACACACACACACAAAAAUUAAUGAAAUAAGAUAAAAUUAUUCAUUGGAGUUCCCAUCGUGGUGCAAUGGUUAACGAAGCCGACUAGGAACCAUGAGGUUUCGGGUUCGGUCCCUGGCCUUGCUCAAUGGGUU
rnacentral:lncRNA from 1 species